UAAGUGGGACGGAUGGUCGCGCGGGAUAUCCCGUGAGGAAAGUCCGGGCUUCACAGGGCAGGGUGCCGGAUAACGUCCGGUGGAGGUGACUCCAAGGCCAGUGCAACAGAAAUAAACCGCAUGUGCAUUUUGCACGUGUAAGGGUGGAAAGGCAGUGUAAGAGACUACCGCCUCGCUGGUAACAGAGAGGGCACAUGUAAACCCCAUCCGGAGCAAGACCAGAUAAAAGCAAUGUGGCUGCCCGUCACGCUUUAGGUAGGUCGCUUGAGCCUGGUGGUAACAUCAGGACCAGAUAGAUGAUCAUCCCGGCUGGAAUUUCCGGCUAUGACAUAACCCGGCUUACAGUUCCGCUUAUCAU
rnacentral:RNase_P_RNA from 1 species